AAAUUCCCGCAUCAGCUUAAAAAUAAGACAUGAACUCGAAUUAAACACAGAAAAUGGUGAAUGGAACACAAGUCUUCAACAUCUUCAAUCUGAUGCAUGUUCAUUUUCAAUCUGUUUUGCGUGCGAUACUUCGGAGAGGCUGAAUUUUCUGUCUUGCUGACUCUUUUCGUUCGCUGCCAUUUGUCAUUUGUGUCGUCGUCCUUUCUUUCGUCUUCCAGUUUCCUUAGUUUUUUUGUGAUUAUUUUGCGAAAUGUCCCAUAUUCUAGUCAAAUGGGUAGAAACAGAACAGUGGGAUGUUUACCCUGUGAGAUGCAUAGCAAAUACCAAGCUGGGCAUUCGACUCCUUUUGGAACAAGCUGCCAUGGAAGACCUGUGAGGCACUGUGCACGACAUUUACUGGAAAGAAGGAGAAGAACCUGCGCCUGCUGUGCUACUCCAUCUCGGUAAACAACACACCAUGGGAAAAAAAGAGGAUCCGGCUUGCGGCUCGGGCUGCAUGUGACAACAGCCAGACUCAGACUCAGGCGACAGCGACUCAGGCUCGUCAGGUCGACAUUGGAGGGGGAGUCCUUGUUGAACAAUCAACGCUCGACAGACUUUCCAAAUUCUGCAACGGUUCAGCAACCAAAUCUGUACGUGCCU